GACGAACCGAGCGAACGUUGUUCGGAAUUACUGGGCGUAAAGCGCGCGCAGGCGGUCUUCCAAGUCAGUGGUGAAAGCCCGGAGCUCAACUCCGGAACUGCCAUUGAAACUGUUGGACUUGAGUACGAGAGAGGUGAGUGGAAUUCCCAGUGUAGAGGUGAAAUUCGUAGAUAUUGGGAAGAACACCGGUGGCGAAGGCGGCUCACUGGCUCGUAACUGACGCUCAGGCGCGACAGCGUGGGGAUCAAACAGG
rnacentral:rRNA from 1 species